AGCUAACCUAACCUCUCUCACAAAGGUCUGCAGCGCGCCGUCACUGGGCCCGGGCCCUAGGGCUUCCCUCUUCUCUCACGUCUCUCAACCAAAACCCGCUCCCGGGAAAGAAGACGAGAAAUUCAUCCGCAUCAAGGAGAACGGACAAAUUUAUCUUCCUGGGAGCGUCCCGGAAAAAUAAUGGGUCUCUGGGCAGUUUCAGAUACCAGAGAGAGAGCCAGGAAGAAGAUAUGUGAGAUCUAUGCAUGGAACCACGGAACUUUCUGUCUGGCUAGCAGGGGAGGCUAACAAACAGAACUUCAUGUGGAUGUUUUGAAACAAGAAAGCAGGGUAAGGAGAUAAGGGAGCGAUGGAGCCCGAAGGCAGCUGAGGGGCCCGCAGUGUCUGGCUGAGCUGGUGAGGAAGGGCAUCCUUUGUAGGGUUGCCAGGUCUAGCAAAGAAGAACACGGGGCACCUAGUCACAUUUGAGUUUCAGAUAAACAGUGAAUACUCUCUCAGGAUAAGUGUGCCCCGUGCAAUAUUUGGGACAUACAUGUAACUAAAAAUUGCCAUUUGUCUGAAAUUCAAAUGUAACUGGGUGUCCUGCAUUUUAUCUUGCACCUCUACUGCCCUGGGGCCCCCAGGAACGAGGUGGGGAGAGAAACAGUCAGCCCAAAGAUUGCCAGGCAGAAAUGGGCUUGGCUCUUGUUCCAGUGUGGCUGGAAUAGAGGGAGGCAGGGAGACGAUGGUAGAGAUGACCCCACAGAGGCAGGCCCGCUAGGAAGAGUUUGCGUUUUAUCCCGAUCAGUAGAAUUUUAGGAAACACCCUCACACUGCAAUUCUUCAUUUCCAUGAAUAUUCCAGUUUAGUAUUGUGUUUCCCGAAGCAGGUGCCACUGACCUUGCUUUAAGGCCAGACUUUAGAAUGGGAGACUAGGUGUCCCUGCCCUGGGUGUCUCACCUAAAUUUACCUGACCUCCCCUCUCUCUUUUCACCCCAUUCACUAUUGUCUGCAGUUUUCCUAGUGCUAGACAGUCAUCGGACCAUAAGAAAUGAACUUAAAAUGCUACUGGGAGAAGAGAUUUAGGGACUCAAAUUCUCACUAGUGUGUAGAUGACUAUUAGAAAGUGUUUUGAAAGUGAGGAAGGGAAGAGCAUAUAGCACAGGUCAAGGAAAGGUGGGAAAAGAAUAAAAAAGGGAAAUUUGAGGGCGCUAAUGCCAAGCUUGACCAAUUUGCCUUGCUGUGACCCUGAAG
rnacentral:lncRNA from 1 species